UAAACCAGAGAGGAAGAAUAAACGAAUUCGUCAGUAUAAACGGAAGUUAACAUUGACCCAAGAACAAUCUUACAUUUAGCGUUUUUAUUGUUAUUUCGACGUUUAUUAACACCCUUGAACUCAAAAUGAAUCCCUCGACUGCACAUCAUCAAUUAUUUACACCUGGUAGUCUUUAAUUCGCGUUGUCGACAGGACGAUAUGUUUUCUAGCUAGCUAGCUGCUAACAAUGGCUAACUGUAUGGUUUUUCACACUCAAAUAGCCUCCAUCAUGGAGGUGCUAGCGAAUGCUGCUGUAGCAGAGAUCUGUAAAAUCGUGGACGACGACUAUGCAGUGGUUCGUUUGGAAAUAACUCAAAGCCAUAAAGAAAACAGGGGAUUGCGGAGGAAACUACAGCUACUGGAAAUGAAGGUGGCACGGGAGCGCGCAGAGAAGACAGCGCGGGAGCGCGUCCUCGCCAGUCGUCCCAGUAGUGUGAAACUCCUCGACCGAUAUAGAGGAUUGGCAAGAGGCGAGGGACAUCUCACUCGAGGCCACAGGAGCUUUGCGAAGCCAGCAGGACAUAACACGUUUAGAGAUGACCAACCAAUCACUGUUGAUGAGGGGAGUGGAACCUCAACCCAGCAUGUUAUUGUGAUAGAGUCUGCAGAGGCUGCAGUCACUGGGGUCAAGAUGGAAAGGUCUGAAGGAGAGGAGGACCCACGGCACAGCAGAGACAUCCAGACUGGAGCGUCCCAUGUAGCCACGGAGGACCUCACCGCCACCACGCCAAGGACCCGACGCAGCAUCACGGAGGAGGAGGAGGGUCCAGAGGUGCUGCUGGUGAAGGAGGAGGUUCUGGGGAACAUGGUCAUGGAGGACAACCAGACUACACCUCCUCCUGAACCCACAGAGGAACCAGCUGAGCAGCACAGGACCACACACAGUCUCACUGAGUCAGUAGACAUGGAGGAUGGGAAGCCUGAUCUGCUGCUGGUCAAAGAGGAGACAAUAGAAGAUGGACCAGAGAGCAUUGAUCUGCUGAGUGGACUAAAGAUGGGGGAGCAAGGUGGAUGGCUGGAGGUUAACAGAGGAGACUGGGCGGCCAUCUUGGAUUCCCAGAACCAGACGGGUGCAGCCAAGGGCCCAGGGGACAAUGUCACUGAGCAGGACAGGACUAGAGGCAACAGAGUGGAGAUGGAGGACAUCUCACUCGAGGCCACAGGAGCUUUGUGAAGCAAGCAGCACAUAAUGUGUGUAGAGAUGACCAACCAAUUACUGUUGAUGAGGGGAGUGGAACCUCAACCCAGCAUGUUAUCGUGAUCGAGUCUGCAGAUGCAGAGGCUGCUGGUCCUGGGGUCAAGAUGGAAAGGUCUGAAGGAGAGGAGGACCCACCGAACAGCAGAGACAUCCAGACUGGAGUGUCCCAUGUAGCCACGGAGGACCUCACCGCCACCGCGCCAAGGACCCAAUGCAGAAUCACGGAGGUCAGUGGAACUCCGAACGCCGUCCUCAAGUCAGAGACGGACACAGAGACUUUAACUGAAACACAAAGACUUUUACACACAAGAUCUGACCACAGGUCAGACCCAGAGGGGCUGGGGCGACUGGGCUGUCCUCCUGUUCCCAGCUCAGAUUAUUUACUUUACGAUAACCUGAGCUCGAGGGCGGUUCAAGUUAAUUCCCAUCGAGACUCGGGUGACGUGUUAGAGGCUGGCAGUGAUCUGUCUUGUUCUUACACUACAGAGAUGGACUCUGGCAACAUAUCCUUGGGUUUAGAGACACAGACUGAUCUGUCUAGAGGGGACUGGAACCUGUACAGCAGUAGUGCAUACUCUGAAGAGUGCCUAGAUAAGAAAGGGGAGGUUAUAGUCUUAGAUGAGGUGACUGUAAAAGUGGAGGGUGAUGUUCCUCUGACAUGGAAUGUAGACGAGACUCCCUCAGGAGAAGGACACUCACAAGGCAGAGAUUUCUUAGAUUAUAGGGAAAGCUUAGAGACAAAUCCAAAUGUCACGACCCACUCCCCUUUACACACACUCAGGGAUCGAGACCCAGUGUCCACGUUGAUGGGGCCUUCCAAUUCACACGGCCGCCGUGUCCUUUUUGAUGAGCUAUUGAACUCAAACAACAGAUCUAGAGCCCAGGCGCAGGGAGAGGGAGCAACAUCAAGCAGUAGUAGAGAGAAACGAUUCCUCUGCAUGUUCUGUAACAAAGGCUUCAGCUGCAUCCAGAAGGUGGAAAUCCACCAGAGGGUCCACACAGGAGAGAAACCCUUCAGCUGUACACAGUGUCACAUGCGCUUCACGCAGGCUGGUGACUUAAAGAGGCACCAGAGGGUCCACACAGGGGAGAAACCAUUCAGCUGUACCCAGUGUCAGAUGCGCUUCUCACACUCGUCCAGCCUGAAGAGGCACCAGAGGGUCCACACAAGGGAAAACCCUAAAGGUACCCCCAGUGUAAGAAGAGUUUCACCAACUAGAACAAGCUAAAGAUGCAUCUGAAGGUCCACACAGGAAAAAGUAUGUUCGCCUGUACGCACUGCAGGAAGAGGUUCUCCGAGAGGAGCUACAGAGAGGAGCUACCUCAGGAUACACCAGCAGAGAAAACAUUCCACUCUAUAACAUUGAAAGUAACCAUUCCACUCAAUAGCCUCUGACAUUUAGAUCAAAUCCUGCAUUAUAGACAAAGAUUAAUUUUCAUUGUCAGUAGAAAAUAUCCACAGAUGCAUUUGGAAUAGUGAGAGUAACAUAUUUCAGUGUUGAAUUUUCCUGGGUAGAAUAUUGCAUCCAGACAUUGUGAUAUAUAAGGCCUAUAUAAGCCUAAAAAGUCUGUUACAUAUUGUGUUUGUACUGUGUAGGCUAUAUGAUGUUCAUACAGAUUGAGACAUAUUUUAAAUGUACAUUUUAGUCAUUUAGCAGGCACUCUUAUCCACAGUGAAUUACAGUUAAUGCAUUCAUUUUAAGAAAGCUGGGCUAAACAACCACGUAACACAGUCGUAGCAAGUACAUUUCCUUAAAUAAAGUACUUAGCAGCAAAGUCAGUGCUAGUAGGAAGACUCAUUCUUUUUUGGAAGGGACUCUGCUGUUCUAGCUUCAGGGUGAAGCUGGUUCCAUCCAGCUUUGACUGGUCUGAGCAAGAGCUGACCACUUGUAAAGUGGGAUGUUGAAGAGACCAGUGGCAGAAUGGAGUGCUUCGAUUGGGGUGUAGGAUUUGAGCAUAGCCUGAAGGUAGGGAGGGGCAGUUCAUUUUGCUGCUCUGUAGGCAACCAUCAUGGUCUUGUAGUGGAUACGGACUUUGACUGGAAGCCAGUGGAGUGUGCCGAGGAGCGGGGAGACAUGGGAGAACUUGGCGGACUGCAGCAUUCUAGAUAAGUUUCAGGGGUUUGAUGGCACAGGAGGGGAACCCAUCCAACAGAGAGCUUCAGAAGUCUAGACGGGAAAUGACAACUGCGUGGAUUAAGGCCUGCUCCGCUUCUUGUGUGAGUAAGGGUUGUAUUCUACGGAUGUUGUAGAGCAUGAACCUUGGAGCGGGGUAGGCCUUCCCCGGGAGGAAGAGUGAGCUUGAGGUGGUGGGCAGACAUCCAAGCUGAGAUGUCUGCCGGGUACGCAGAGAUAUGUGUGUAUGUGUGGUUUUCAUAUGGUGUAUUUAACAAUAGUUUGUUUAAUAAACACAAUGGGACUUUU